UACGUAGGGGGCAAGCGUUAUCCGGAUUUAUUGGGCGUAAAGCGUGCGUAGGCGGUUUAUUAAGUUUAAGAUUAAAGCCCGAAGCUUAACUUCGGUUCGUCUUAAAAACUGGUAGACUUGAGCAUAGUAGAGGUAAGUGGAAUUUCUAGUGUAGCGGUAAAAUGCGUAGAUAUUAGAAGGAACAUCAGUGGCGAAGGCGACUUACUGGACUAUUGCUGACGCUGAGGCACGAAAGCGUGGGGAGCAAAUAGG
rnacentral:rRNA from 1 species